rnacentral:rRNA from 1 species
CCUACGGGAGGCAGCAGUGAGGAAUUAUUGGACAAUGGGAGCAAUCCUGAUCCAGCCAUGCCGCGUGCAGGAAGACUGCCCUAUGGGUUGUAAACUGCUUUUAUACAGGAAGAAAAAGGUGUACGUGUACACUGUUGACGGUACUGUAAGAAUAAGGAUCGGCUAACUCCGUGCCAGCAGCCGCGGUAAUACGGAGGAUCCAAGCGUUAUCCGGAAUCAUUGGGUUUAAAGGGUCCGUAGGCGGGAUGAUAAGUCAGUGGUGAAAGUCUGCAGCUCAACUGUAGAAUUGCCAUUGAUACUGUUGUUCUUGAGUUAUUGUGAAGUGGUUAGAAUGAGUAGUGUAGCGGUGAAAUGCAUAGAUAUUACUCAGAAUACCGAUUGCGAAGGCAGAUCACUAACAAUGAACUGACGCUGAUGGACGAAAGCGUAGGUAGCGAACAGGAUUAGAUACCCUGGUAGUCUACGCCGUAAACGAUGGUUACUAGCUGUUCGGGUUAAUUGAGACCUGAGUGGCUAAGCGAAAGUGAUAAGUA